AUUGAACGCUGGCGGCAGGCCUAACACAUGCAAGUCGAGCGGAUGAAGGGAGCUUGCUCCUGGAUUCAGCGGCGGACGGGUGAGUAAUGCCUAGGAAUCUGCCUGGUAGUGGGGGAUAACGUCCGGAAACGGGCGCUAAUACCGCAUACGUCCUGAGGGAGAAAGUGGGGGAUCCUCGGACCUCACGCUAUCAGAUGAGCCAAGGUCGGAUUAGCUAGUUGGUGGGGUAAAGGCCUACCAAGGCGACGAUCCGUAACUGGUCUGAGAGGAUGAUCAGUCACACUGGAACUGAGACACGGUCCAGACUCCUACGGGAGGCAGCAGUGGGGAAUAUUGGACAAUGGGCGAAAGCCUGAUCCAGCCAUGCCGCGUGUGUGAAGAAGGUCUUCGGAUUGUAAAGCACUUUAAGUUGGGAGGAAGGGCAGUAAGUUAAUACCUUGCUGUUUUGACGUUACCAACAGAAUAAGCACCGGCUAACUUCGUG
rnacentral:rRNA from 1 species